UACGGAGGGGGCCAGCGUUGUUCGGAAUUAUUGGGCGUAAAGGGCGCGUAGGCGGCCAUUCAAGUCGGACGUGAAAUCCCUCGGCUCAACCGGGGAACUGCGUCCGAUACUGUCUGGCUCGAGUCCUGGAGAGGGUAGUGGAAUUCCCAGUGUAGCGGUGAAAUGCGUAGAUACUGGGAGGAACACCGGUGGCGAAGGCGGCUCCCUGGACAGGUACUGACGCUGAUGCGCGAAAGCUAGGGGAGCAAACAGG
rnacentral:rRNA from 1 species